rnacentral:rRNA from 1 species
UUUAAGGGCGUACGGUGGAUGCCUUGACUUUAAGAAGCGAUGAAGGACGUGGCGUUGCUGCGAUAAGCUUCGGGGAGGUGCUUAGCAACCUUUGAUCCGGAGAUUUCCGAAUGGGGAAACCCUAUCAAGUAAACCUUGAUAACCCAGCCCCACUUUUCUAACGAAUUUUAUUUUUUUACUUUACUUUAAUUUGCAAGAUUUUAGUUUAGUAAUUUAAUGAACUUGGUUAAAAAAGUGGGGCUGGGAGCAUACCCUGGGAAGUGAAACAUCUCAGUACCAGGAGGAAUAGAGACAAAUAUGUAUUUCCUUAGUAGCGGCGAGCGAAAAGGAAGAAGCCCAAACCCAGCACCACUUUUGACGGAAUUUUAACGUGGUAAUUUAAAGAAAUAUUAUUUACUGAUCUUUAAGUUAUUAUUGAGAGAUUGUUUCAAAAGUGGUGCUGGGGGUUGUAAGGUAACAAUGUAGAUUUCUAGAAGAGUCAAAAAAUAAGUUAUUAGUUGAAGCUGCUGGAAAGCGGCACCAUAGGGGGUGAUAGUCCCGUAAACGAAAAUAAUUUAUCUCUUUUAUUGUUAUUCUUGAGUACCCCAGGACAUGAAUGGCCGGGGGGAAUCCAGCGGAACUAACCGCUAAGGCUAAAUAUUCUUAAAGAUCGAUAGUGAACUAGUACCGUGAGGGAAAGGUGAAAAGCAGCCCG